AGGGCACCACCAGGAGUGGAGCCUGCGGCUUAAUUUGACUCAACACGGGAAAACUCACCCGGCCCGGACACCGUAAGGAUUGACAGAUUGAGAGCUCUUUCUUGAUUCGGUGGUUGGUGGUGCAUGGCCGUUCUUAGUUGGUGGAGCGAUUUGUCUGGUUUAUUCCGAUAACGAACGAGACUCUGGCCUACUAAAUAGAGACAGGAUUAUUACUGUCCUGGAUUCUUCUUAGAGGGACAAGUGGUUUUCAGCCACACGAAAUUGGGCAAUAACAGGUCUGUGAUGUCCUUAGAUGUCCGGGGCUGCACGCGCGCUACACUGAAGGAAUCAACGUGCUAAAACCAUUGUCGGAAGGCAUUGGUAAACCCCUCAAAAUCCUACGUGAUUGGGAUCGGGGAUUGCAAUUAUUUCCCUUGAACGAGGAAUUCCCAGUAAGUGUGGGUCAUAAGCUCGCGCUGAUUACGUCCCUGCCCUUUGUACACACCGCCCGUCGCUGCCCGGGACUGAGCCGUUUCGAGA
rnacentral:rRNA from 1 species